UACGUAGGGGGCAAGCGUUGUCCGGAUUUAUUGGGCGUAAAGAGCGUGUAGGCGGCCAUACAGGUCAGCUGUGAAAACUCGAGGCUCAACCUCGAGACGUCGGUUGAAACCGUAUGGCUAGAGUCCGGAAGAGGAGAGUGGAAUUCCCGGUGUAGCGGUGAAAUGCGCAGAUAUCGGGAAGAACACCCGUGGCGAAAGCGGCUCUCUGGAACGGUACUGACGCUGAGACGCGAAAGCGUGGGGAGCGAACAGG
rnacentral:rRNA from 1 species